CUACGGGGUGCACCAGUGAGGAAUAUUGCACAAUGGGGGAAACCCUGAUGCAGCAACGCCGCGUGGAGGAUGACGCAUUUCGGUGUGUAAACUCCUUUUAUCAGAGAAGAAAAUGACGGUAUCUGAUGAAUAAGCUCCGGCUAACUCCGUGCCAGCAGCCGCGGUAAUACGGAGGGAGCAAGUGUUAUUCGGAAUCACUGGGCGUAAAGGACGCGUAGGCGAGUUUUUAAGUCAGGUGUGAAAUCCUAUGGCUCAACCAUAGAACUGCACUUGAAACUGGGGACCUAGAGUAUGGAAGGGGCAGGUGGAAUUAGUGGUGUAGGGGUAAAAUCCGUAGAUAUCACUAGGAAUACCGAAAGCGAAGGCGACCUGCUGGGACAUUACUGACGCUGAGGCGUGAAAGCGUGGGGAGCAAACAGGAUUAGAUACCCGUGUAGUC
rnacentral:rRNA from 1 species